rnacentral:rRNA from 1 species
CGGGUGAGUAACGCGUGAGGAACCUGCCUCAAAGAGGGGGACAACAGUUGGAAACGACUGCUAAUACCGCAUAAGCCCACGGCUCGGCAUCGAGCAGGGGGAAAAGGAGUAAUCCGCUUUGAGAUGGCCUCGCGUCCGAUUAGCUAGUUGGUGAGGUAACGGCUCACCAAGCCGACGAUCAGUAGCCGGUCUGAGAGGAUGAACGGCCACACUGGAACUGAGACACGGUCCAG